UGAUUUUAUUAAAUUGGUUUAGAUGUGUUGGUUAAAAUUAAAUUGACAUUGGUUUAGAGAUUUUAGUUGGUUUAAUUCAAUUUUACAAAAUUUGAUGGUUAAUUGGGUAAACCAUUGAAACCAUUAACCAUUACAACCCAACUCAUUUUACUCAUCAAACCAAUUGACUCAAUAACUCAUUUAACCCAUCAACUCAUUUGAGUCAAAAUUUUCAAUUCAUCAGGGUUCAUGGGUUAAGUUGAGUUGAGUUGAGUUGAGUUGACCCAUGAAUUUUGACCCAUUUUGACACCCCUAGAUAAAGCUAUAGGCACGGCUCUGCUCCUAAACCUUGGACCAUGUC
rnacentral:sRNA from 1 species